GGGUAUGUCUCUACAAGCUUUGCACAUCUAGUGACUGAAAUUUUUGCCCAUUCUUCUUUGCAAAACAGCUCAAGCUCAGUCAGAUUAGAUGGAGAGCAGUUUUCAGAAGUUGCCACAGAUUGUCGAUUGGGUUUAUGUCUGGACUUUGACUGGGCCAUUCUAACACAUAAAUAUGUUUUGUUUAAACCAUUCCAGUGUAGCCCUGGCUUUAUGUUUAGGGUCGUAGUCCUGCUGGAAGGUGAACCUCCACCCCAGUCUCCACUCUCCACUCUCAAGUCUUCAAAACUCCAACAGGUUUUCUUCCAAGAUUGCCCUGUAUUUGACUCCAUCAAUUCUGACCACCUUCCCUGUUCCUGCUGAAGAGAAGAAGCCCCAGAGCAUGAUGCUGCCACCAGCAUAUUUGACAGUGGGGAUAGUGUGUUCAGAGUGAUGUACAGUGUUAGUUUCCCACCACACACAUAGCGUUUGGCAUUUUGGCUAAAAAGUAUAAUUUUAGUCUCGUCUGACCAAAGCAACUUCUUCCACAUGUUUGCUGUGUCCCCAACAUGGCUUCUGGCAAACUGCAAACAGGACUUCUCAUGGUUUUCUUUUAACAAUGGUUUUCUUCUUGCCACUCUUCCAUAAAGACCACAUUUGUACAGUGCACAACUUAUAGUUGUCCUGUGGACAGAUUCCCCCACUUGAGCUGUGGGUCUCUGAGUUCAUCUAGAUUCACCAUGGGCCUCUUGGCUGCAUCUCUGAUCAGUGCUCUCCUUGUUCGGCCUGUAAGUUUAGGUGGACAGCCUUGUCUUAGUAGGUUUACAGUUGUGCUUUCCAUUUCUAGAUGAUGGAUUGAACAGUGCUCUGCUCAGGAAAUCUUUUUAUAGCGUAAGUCUGCUUUAAGCCUUCUGUCUGUUGUGUUCCUUGGACCUCAUGGUCCUGUUUGCUUCCCAAUAGUCUCUUACCCAAUCUCUGAGCUGUCACAGAGCAGCUGAUUUGGUACUGAGGUUAGAUUACACAAAGGUGGACUCUAUUUAGUCAUUAGCAAUCAUCAGACAACUUCUGAAGGCAAUUGGUUGCACUCAGAGUAAAGGGGGCUGAAUUCUUUUGCACACUGCAGUUUUCAGUUCUUAAAUUGUAAAAAAAUGUUUAAAUCAUGUAUAAUUUUCUUUACUCUUCACAAUUGUGUUGGCCUUUCACAUAGUAUUACAUUGAAAUAUAUUUAUGUUUAUAUAUGUUUGUGGUUGUAAUGUGACAACAUAUGGAAAAGUUCAAGGUGUAUGAAUACUUUCACAAGCCUCUGUAUUAAUGUCACAUAUACUUGUCAUGACAAAGACUGUUAUGGUAAUGACAUUAAAACAUGUAAAAAAAAAUUAUGUUUGUUGAAGCAAGAGGCCAUGGCAAGAGGAAAUUGGUUGCUAUUCCACUUGAUGGGUGGAAGGAUACACUGGCAAACUACUGCAUCUUGCAUCUAGAGGGGGGAGGACAAUUUUGUAUAUUGUUCCUCUCCAAGAAGACCUAGACCUCACUCCAUUGCCUUCUGAUUCAUUGGAGUUUCAUAAAAUGCCAAAGGCGGCAUGCCAAAUUUGCAAGAGUAGUAUGCCUUUACAUAUCUUGGCUUUGCAUGUUCAGAAAUGUGUAAAGCGGGAAGCUGUAGACCCUGAAGAUGAUAAGGUGAGUACUCAUCUUGAUUACGCUUAAAGGUCAUGUGUUUUGACAGCUUACAUUGAUACCGGAGUAUAAAAUGUGAUCCUUCACUAUCUGCAUUGUAAUUCUUAAAUAAAAAAUUAAAAAAAUUCAACUAACAUAAACUAAGUGCAAUAUUCUUUUGUGAAAUACAAUGACUCUCAAUGCAACAUGGUUUAAGUAUUUGUUAUAGCAGCAUUUUACUUGUGUAUGUGUUCUGUGUUGUAUUUCAUUGGACUGGGAGAAUGACAUUCAAGUGAUCUCUGUUGAUGACUCAACAGUUGAGCAAGAUUGUACUGAUUUGCAACAGGUAGUAUCUUCAACAUUUGGUAGAAAAUUUGCAAGAAAUUAUUUUGUCAUUUAUUUCACAUUGCAUUUUGCUUACAGGACAUAGAAAAUGCUUAAAUUCCCACAGCUGAUGUAUAUGCAGACUUUGAUGCUAGGUAGAACACUGGGAGCCAAAUUACAAAAGUCAUUGCUAAUUUGUCAAGGUUAAAGAAUACGUAUCUUCUAUGUCUGGUUUCUUCAUGUAUGUUUGUGUUCAAAUUUACCAGCUCAUCAAAAAUUACUUCUGCUGUUUCAACAGUGAAGAUGAUGUGCUUCAGUUGCUUGCUGGCCACGUGGAUACAGAGAAAAAAUUCAAAAUAUGUGUAACCUGUGAUGAUCUUCUUCAGAAAGGCUUUCUUCAGUGGCAAAGGCAAAAAAGGUUUCCCCAGUCAACAGACUUAGUGAUACUUUUAUUGGGGAGGCAGGAAUUGACACCGGGUGCCUUAAGAAAGACGUUUUUGACUGGUAAAUUCAUGUUACUUGUGGCAGUUUCUAAUACUUUUUUUGACCAAUCCUGCACAUAGUGUGUUGUUACUAUGUGGGAAUGUUGUGGAUUGACCCCUUGUCAAAGAAGGAUUUCUGUCACCAGUUGGGACAGAUAAUUAUUCUAUUCUAUUCUAUUCUAUUAUUCUCAAGUGUUUUUCCUUUUGUUCUUUUGCAAUCAAGAAAUGAUCCAUGGCAUUGACAGGAAGGGAAAGAGUCAAAUCUACUCCAUUUAUGACCUAGAUAACAGCCUCUACAAGUUUGUACUGAUCAUUUUCAUAAUGUAAUGAUUCUUUCUAAAGAUGUGAAUAACUUUAGUGUUUUGAUGAUACAUAGAGUUGUUGGAUCAGUCUUGCACAAGGAGAUCCAGCUCCUUGUUUCCUCAGAAACUGGUAUUACCAGUUUCUUGUCACUGGGGACUUUGAUUCUCUCCAAAUCACACCUGAAGAUGUAGAUGAUCCAGAGUAUGCCACCCUAAUAGAAAAGGGCCAUCGUCCUGCAUGCCACAAUGCGUUUAACUCCUUUGCUGCAGCAGAUCAGAAAUGGAAUGAAGGUCAACAACCUUUUGGAGGUGCUUGGAAUGCACAAGGCUCUUUGUUCCAACCUGUUUGUUCCUAAAGAUGAUGAUAAUGAGGUCAGGAGGAUGAAUGUGACAGUGGGUACAACCCUCAGCAAGAGACCAAAAAUGAGGGUAAAGGACUUUGGAAAAACGAGAUUCUCAACAUCUCUGCACCGGCCAUACUGCAGUGGUUAACAGAACAAAGACACAAACCCCUUCUCUUGUCAGAGAGAGCAGAUUUUAAAAUCAGCUGCCAGGAGAAAUGCCUGGUCACCUUCAAUGCUACCCCAUUGUGAGUCUCUGUACAAAUACAAUCACUUUUCCUGUUUCACACAUGAACACAUACACUAACUUUAGAGAUAUCAUGACAACAGCUAUGAGAAUGGGUAGGGAUUUUGCUAAAGUGUAGUCACUGAAUGUAAUUAACUUGAUUAGUCAUCUGCUACACUGCAAGGCAAUUUCAACUGUGCAUAUACUGUUUUGAACAAUUCUAGAUUCUAAUGUUCAGCUUUUCAAAUGGUUAAUAUCUUAUUUGAAGUACCAGGAAUUACUUUCCAUCAAAACCAACAAAGUAUGAAAUGACAUUAACAGUAAAUCAGUUUUAUGUUUCAGGUAUUAUUCUACAGUUUUUGUAUAUAGUAAAUGAAAAACAAGGAAAACUGCAUGUUGUAUAAGUUACCUUAUAUUCUAAAUGAAAGAGUAACAGCACCAUACAGCUAAUUUUCAUUUCCUUUAUGUUCACUGAAAUAAUACAGAACCAUCAGUCAUAGUUAGUAAAUGAAGUUCUUUCUUUAACAUGCAAACAUCAAUGUCUUUAGCAGUAUCAAAGUUCAUGUUUUAGGGUGUGUUAUCAUUUUUUGAAAUUAUGAAAAUGCCUUUUUUUCACAGUUCAAUGAGAUUUCUGAGCAUUUUUGAUGAAGUCACUUUCAAGUAUUACACUCAGACAAGUAUUCUGACAGAACACGGUUAAAAAAAAAAAAAUAAAACGAAAAUGUAUUGAAUCAGUUGGCUGUAAAGCUUUCAAAGUUAGAAAUAUAAUCAAUCAGAUACACACUCAAUCUGACGAUUCAACAAAUAAUUACAGUAGCAACUUGUCAUACUAGAAACCUGGUUAUUUGUAAACUUUAAUAGACAUUGUAAAGGCAAAACUGUUCUCUUUUUUCUUUCAGAAGUGAUGUCUUGUUUGUACAGAAGACAUGCUUCCUUUUCAGUUAAAAUGAGUUUUGUAUGGAUCACUUUGUGCAAUGGCUUUUAUGCCUGCCUGUAGGUAUCUGAAAUGGAGUAAAAAAAAUAAACAAUAUAAUAUAAUAUAAUAUAAUGUAAUGUAAUGUAAUAUAAUAUAAUAUAAUAAGAAAAUAUAUAAAAUAUUAUGAUAAUAAAGAACUUAAAAUAC